CUAAAUUAUUUUACACCUCUGACUUCCUGAACCGAAUUGAGAAAUCAAACGAAUAUUAAAAAAUGAAGUCACUUCCAACAACCCUAUUGAGUUUCCUCGUGCUCUCUCUUCAGUCUUCUCCUUCAACUUCAGUCGCAGCCGCACCGAUUCAUCGUGGUCACCGUCGUCCGUACGUCUUCUUCUUCAAGCCACCAUCGUUGAUGCAUGCUUCAUCAUUGUUCUGCUUUUGCCGUCGCUCGUUCCUUGUUGUUCCAUGAUGCUCUUAUGCUCCAAUGGUUUCGUCGUUCACCCUUCAUCGGCUGUCGGUCCCAACUCCCCACUCCUCAAUUUCUGGAUAAGGCACGAAACAGUGGGUAGACACAAGAAAGCAGAAGAGUCUAGGGAUUUGGUUGAAAAGGCCUAAACCCCAACUUCGCACCAGCUUAUCACAAUGUUGAUGUUGAUUAUUUCUUCCUACAGUUUAAUGGCUUACUGAAGAUAUGCUUUGUUAUUCAUAUUUUACCGCCUGUAAAGCACUGUAAGAUUUUUAUGUUCUUCUCCUGCUCUUUUUGGCUUAAAUGGAAUAAUGGAGGCCGGUGUUUUUACUUU